GACAAAAGCCUUGUGUGACUCCUCCUCAGCAGAGGCUGAACACCAUAAAGUGUUCAAUCGAGUGUGACGAUCUCGCUGACCUUUGACCUUCCACACAGCAGCAGGUUUACCACAGAAGUAUCUGACUCCUGCUCAGAUCAGUGCAGAGGCACAGGUAUGUUUUGUUGAGUGUGAACUGACUCAACUAACUGAUGUGUGCACACUUUCACUUUCAGGUUUGGAACCUGCUUUACAGGUGAGUUUUUUGUUCUGCACGUACGCUACACUGUAAAAGAUGC
rnacentral:lncRNA from 1 species